GAGAGGAACUUGUUCCUCGAGUCGUUGAUUUCACACUGCCGAGAAAAGCCUCUAGCUAGAAUAACGGUGCCCGUACCGCAAACCGACACAGGUAGUCAAGAUGAGAAUUCUAAGGUGAGCGAGCGAACUCUCGUUAAGGAACUCGGCAAAAUGACCCCGUAACUUCGGGAGAAGGGGUGCUCUUUGAGGUUCACGCUUCGAAGAGCCGCAGUGAAUAGGCCCAAGCGACUGUUUAUCAAAAACACAGGUCUCUGCUAAACCGUAAGGUGACGUAUAGGGGCUGACGCCUGCCCGGUGCUGGAAGGUUAAGAGGAGUGGUUAGCGCAAGCGAAGCUACGAAUCGAAGCCCCAGUAAACGGCGGCCGUAACUAUAACGGUCCUAAGGUAGCGAAAUUCCUUGUCGGGUAAGUUCCGACCCGCACGAAAGGCGUAACGAUUUGGGCACUGUCUCAACGAGAGACUCGGUGAAAUCAUAGUACCGGUGAAGAUGCCGGUUACCCGCGACAGGACGGAAAGACCCCGUGGAGCUUUACUGUAGCCUGAUAUUGAAAUUCGGUACAGUUUGUACAGGAUAGGUAGGAGCCUUAGAAGCGUGAGCGCUAGCUUACGUGGAGGCAUUGGUGGGAUACUACCCUAAUUGUAUUGGAUUUCUAACCCGCAGCACUUAUCGUGCUGGGAGACAGUGUCAGGCGGGCAGUUUGACUGGGGCGGUCGCCUCCUAAAGAGUAACGGAGGCGCUCAAAGGUUCCCUCAGAAUGGUUGGAAAUCAUUCAUAGAGUGUAAAGGCAUAAGGGAGCUUGACUGCGAGACCUACAAGUCGAGCAGGGUCGAAAGACGGACUUAGUGAUCCGGUGGUUCCGCAUGGAAGGGCCAUCGCUCAACGGAUAAAAGCUACCCCGGGGAUAACAGGCUUAUCUCCCCCAAGAGUUCACAUCGACGGGGAGGUUUGGCACCUCGAUGUCGGCUCAUCGCAUCCUGGGGCUGUAGUCGGUCCCAAGGGUUGGGCUGUUCGCCCAUUAAAGCGGUACGCGAGCUGGGUUCAGAACGUCGUGAGACAGUUCGGUCCCUAUCCGUCGUGGGCGUAGGAAAUUUGAGAGGAG
rnacentral:rRNA from 1 species